CCACCUCGCUAUGGCCCCCGGCACGUGAUGUCUGUGGUGUCCCCGCCGCGCAGGGAUUGGCGGGGCAGAAGAGGCAGCCGGAACCCUUGUCUCCCGCCCGCGCUCCGCACCCGGACUCCUUAGAGCAGAGCACGCAGCUGCGGAGCGGAAGCUCUGCGCGCCGAGUUGUCCGGCCACUUCCACUUCUCUUCCGCCCCGCCUCGUAGCCACUUCCGGUGCGCGCGGGUCGGGCCCGGCGGAGCCCCCCGGAGACGCGCGGCGGACAGUUUUCAUGGCAUCAACCUCACAGCAGCGGCUCCAGCGCCGCCUCCACCGGUGGGCACGGCGUGGCCGGACAGCGGCACUGCGGGCAUUGCUGCGCCGCCAUCAGAGGCUGCUGGAGCUGGAUAGGCCACGGGGCCGGCACCGCCACACCCCCCUACACCGCGCUGUGGCUGCUGGCGCCGCCUCAGCUGCCCGCCUCCUGCUGCGCCGCGGCGCCAACCCCGCCUGCAUCGACACCCAUGGUGACACCGCCCUGCACCUGGCUGCCCGCGCCGGCCACCGUGUGUUCCAGACGCUGUUCCUGCCCAUUGUGCGCUGCUGCCCUCAGGUCAUGAGGAUCCGUAACCAGGCAGGGCAGAUCCCCACCGAUCUCCUGGAUCCCGUGCUGCAGGAGGAGCACCCCAUGGAGCAGGAGGAGGAGGACAACGCUGACUCCUGGCAUCAGAAGCUGCUGGGGGAGUGUGAAGCUGAGGCCUGGGAGGCCGGUGGCUAUGAGGAGGAUUUCAACAGGGAACAGUCAGAUUACGAGACCUAUGACGCGUGGGCAGAGCGAAUUGCCCGCGAGUACACCCGGAAGCGAGGCCAAGGGGCAGGGCUUAACCAUGGGAAGCUGGAGGACAGCAGUCAAGGGGCAGGGCCUAGCCGGGGAAAGGCGGAGCCUGAGCCCCUCCGGCGCCCCAUGGAGGUGGAAGCCGACCUGUACCGGGCCCGGGAGGCUGCCAAGGCCCGGGAGCUGCAGGAGGCUAAGAGGAGGCGCUGCGAGGAGGCCUUCACCCCAGGUGCCACCAGCCUUCUAACCUAUCAUGACAUCCCUUGGCCCUGCCCAGGGGCCAGCCCUGAGGCUAUGGCGGCAGCGGCCAUGAUGGGAGCGGACCCAGGCAACCGAGCCAACUUCCGACGCCAGCUGCGACGCCAACAGGCCCUGUGGCACCCUGACAAGUUCACUCAGCGUUGUGGGGAGCGCCUGGCCCAGCCUGACCGACGCCGGGUGCUGGAUGCUGUCAUGGCCUUGUCUCAGGCCCUCAACCGCCUGGCCGAGAGCGUCAAGUGAGGCGGCUGGCUCUGGGCCGCGUGUAAUGGGGACAGGAGCUACGGAUGGCUCUGGAGAGCGUCAGGUUUAGCCUGGACUGCAGGGAUACUAGGGGUCUCCAUGAUGAACAAGGAGCAAUGGACUGAGACUGCAGCAGGGGAAACUGAGGCCAGAGAUGAGGAGACUCUUCAUCCUCAGAUAUUUCCAAGAACGAGGUAGGCUGACGAUUCUCAACCAGGGCAUCAGGGAGCUGUCAGACCCUCAUGAGCGUGUAGGGCCAUAUUAUCGCUGCGAAUAACUGGGAUUUUCCCAAGGGAGUCCCAGGGUCUAAUGAGGAGUGUGGAUAGGCCUACAAAGGUUGAGAGCCCCUGGGUCAUGCAAACACGUGUCUGGGCUGGUUCAGAAGGGGCUAGCCAUGCCUUCAGUUACAGGUUGGACCAGAUGCGACCUCCCGUGGUCCUGGCCAGCCCAGCCCCCACCUUUAUAGGCACUUCUAGCUCUACCUUGAAGCCAUGUAGAGCUCUCGAUCCCAGACUGCACUGGGAAGACUCCCGGGCAUUCCCGAGCUAGGACAUCCAACCUAUGUGUCUCUGGUUGACAUUGACUUGACCUUUGCUCCUCAGCCCACCAUGCCUGUCCCCCUUGUCCUCCUGGUGCCUCCAUCGGUAGAUGACAACCUUCUUCCCUCCUCCAUCUCUAUCUUAAUGAGCCCUGGGACUUCCUCACACAGGAUUGGGUCUCCAGGCCUGGCCCCAUCCACACAGCCUUGCUGGCUGCCAUCCUAGCACCUCUACAAUAAGAGAUAAAAGCCGCCUGUGGUAGGAGGUGUUACCAGCACCUGGGUCACUGGGACGAUUCUCUCAGCUGCACAGACGUCACCACCCAAGAGAGGAAGACCCAGGAGUUGUGGGUUUUCGGGGACGGUCAGGGUGAAUCAACGUUGAGGGGGUGGAUGCAGCCCUGGAAAACGGGUCUCAUCCCCUCCACCCACUGUGUCUUGUGCGUGUUGGGACAUCAGAUCUAGAGCAGACAAGAAAGCUGCCUGACACCACCCUCCUCAAUUAGGACCCCCCAGUAAGAACCAAGAUUGCCUGGGUCUUCUGUCCACCCUGGGCACUGGGCUAAUGGGGAUGAGAGGUGGUGCAAAGCUGGGGGGAAUCUCUCCCCAUGCAGCAUCAGGUCUUGGGGUGUAGGAGAAUAAACAAGACCCCUCCAUACACUCAAGUGGACCCCCAAAGACAAGACCACCUGGUUCUCCUGCCCCAUUUGGGCGUUGAUAGAAUGAUGAGAACAGGAAGAUUGGGUACAAGGCUGGAGGCAAUCUCACCCCAUGUGGCAUCAGGUCUUGGGGUGAAGGGGGACAGAUAAAACCCCUCUGUCUGCCCAACUAAACCCCCGGAGCCAGGAUCACCUAGGUCUCCUGCCCUGCUUGGGGGUGAGGAGGAUGAGUACAAGGCUGGGGGGAAUCUCUACCCAUGUGGCAUCAGAUUGGGCUGAGGGUGGACAAGACCCUUCCAUCCACCUAACUGGACUCCCAAAACCAAGACCACAUGGUCUAGCACCCACUAGAGGAUCUGCAUAGAAGCUCAUAGCCUUGUAUCACACCAGAUAUGAGAGUAGGGGGGUGGCCAAUUUUGGGAGGUGGGCUCUGAUACGGUGAGAAGGGAAGCC